AUGGAGGACUUGACACAGAACCGUGCAGUGAUGGACACCUUGGGCAGUAUGGUGCAAAAUGUGGAUGCGCCACAAAGGGGCCAAGGUGGUUUUGACUUGGCCAGUAUGAUGCAGCAGAUGAUGCCUGCUGUGUCACAAGUUCUUGGUGGAGCUUCACCUCGUCGUGCUGGUACAGAUGUGCAGCCUCGACAAAAUGACAGGGAAGUAAGCGACGCUGCAGGUGCGAGAAGCUCUCAGAUGGAUCUUCAAGAAGCAUGUCAACGCAUCGAGCAACAUGAUGCCCCUGAGGAAAUCUUUGGUGCUGUCCUUGAGACUGCUGCUCAGGCUUAUGGCGACGAUGAGAGCAUCGAGGUCAUGCUUGAAGAGCUUGCCAGUGACCCAGAGCUUGCUGAUGAGUACAUGAAGCUUCUGCUGGAGCAAGUCGGCGAGAGGGUGGAGUCCGAAUCCGAGGCCAAGAUGCAGUCGUGA
rnacentral:rRNA from 1 species